GGGUUUAAGAUUUUAGAUAAUUAUGGUGACUUGAAAGUUCAUAAUGUUUAACAGGUUUCAUUUCAACGCCGGACUGUUCUAGGCUUCAAUCAUAGGACCAAAGCUACCAUAAUUGCAAGCAUUCGAGCGUAAUCCAGCAUCAUCUUGCAAUACUUGGGCAUCCGUUGGUUGCGCAUUUAUUAGAAGAUUAAACUGAUUCUAAACAAUCUUUUUGAUCUCACUUCGACUUGACGACAAUCUCUUCCUUGGAUUAUUCAGGAACUGAUGAACUGCGACAUGAAAUCAUUUCCUUCGCAAAAGAUUACAAGCGAUUUAAUGCCGCAAAUUCGGUUGUCUUUGAAGGGUUUAGAAUUGCAAAAUGGAGAGGAAGAGAUGGAGAGACAGAUAAAUCGCAAAGAGAGCGCAAUGGAGAGGAAGAGAGACCUUACCUGUUCUGCUGCGGUGCCCUGAUGAAGGUGAUCGAUUUCAGAGCUUCCUUUCUUAGUUUUGUUAUAUUAAUCGAGAGAGGUAGGAGAAGGAAAUUGUUUUAACAUGUAACAUUGAAAAUCAUAUCAUAAGCAUAAGCGCAAUCGCCAAUGGCGGGCGCGCGCUUAACCGCGCGACUGUUUGAGCGCGCCUCGCCAGCUCAAAUACUCGAUGUAAUUCCAAAGUUGAUCGUAGCAUUGACAAUUUUGCAACACAAUAGAACAAUGAAAUACAAUGGUGUAGCACCAGUUCGUACCGGAACGAAAAACAAGCCCCCGUUCGUAAGCUAAUCGAUUCAGGAGCCUCUUCGUCCUCUGUGCGGAAUUUCUCUGUGCAGAUUCAUCGUCAUCGCCGGAAUUACUAUCCACCAAUCUAGUAACCGCAAGCAUCUUACUUCUGCAAUGCGAAAGAUUGUGCCCCUGGAAAUGAAAUGCCCAAAUUUGGUUGCGCAGCAGAGAAAUGGUUGACCUAAUGAAGACGCCACUCAUAGAUGGAUGCGGCAGAGUGUGAGAAGAAUUGAAGGUCUGCUUGCCGCUGCCAUGGAUUCAGGUGUGGUUCAUACAGUAGCUCCCGUCCUACUUCGCCAAUGACACUUCGUCCUGAUAGCAGCAAUUGGCGUUUAACAGGUACAUUAAUAUUUUACAUUGACCAUUCUUCACAUAAUUUCAUGUUCAUAAGAUUGUGAAUAUGGAUGAUAUCCACUUUCAGUAACUUGCAGUGUGAUUCCUCAAAUUAAGACUCAAUUAGUUUAAUUCUUUCAUAUCCAAACAAAGUUUAUGUUUCAGGCGGUGCUGCAUCAGGGAUGAUUCUCAGGUAAAAUGAUGAGGGGAGGAUAAUUGGAGUAAGGAUAUACCUUGUAGAGAGGUGAAAAGGCUAUAUUUCUCAUCACACGAAGGAAACGGUAGCGGCUUGAUCGAUAGUAAAUGUUGAAGGGGCACACAAG